AGCUCCAAUAGCGUAUAUUAAAGUUGUUGCAGUUAAAAAGCUCGUAGUUGGAUCUUGGGAUGUGCGGAACUUUGUCCACCUAGUGGUGAGAACAGGUUCGGCCAUCCUUCCUUCUGGAUAUCCACCGGUGUUCUUAAUUGAGCGCCGGUAGCCGGCCGUGGUUUGUUCUGGCGGCCUGGAUUCCAGAUCGUUUACUUUGA
rnacentral:rRNA from 1 species